UACGUAGGGGGCGAGCGUUGUCCGGAAUCAUUGGGCGUAAAGAGCGUGUAGGCGGUUCGAUAAGUCGGCUGUGAAAGUCCAGGGCUCAACCCUGGGAUGCCGGUCGAAACUGUCGGACUAGAGUUCGGAAGAGGCGAGUGGAAUUCCCGGUGUAGCGGUGAAAUGCGCAGAUAUCGGGAGGAACACCAAUGGCGAAGGCAGCUCGCUGGGACGUUACUGACGCUGAGACGCGAAAGCGUGGGGAGCAAACAGG
rnacentral:rRNA from 1 species